UACGUAGGAGACGAGCGUUGUCCGGAAUUACUGGGCGUAAAGCGCGUGUAGGCGGAUGAGCAAGUCUGCUGUGAAAGCUCCUGGCUUAACCGGGAGUGGUCGGUGGAAACUGCUCGUCUGGAGGACGGUAGAGGUAGGUAGAAUUCCCGGUGUAGUGGUGAAAUGCGUAGAGAUCGGGAGGAAUACCUGUGGCGAAGGCGGCCUACUGGGCCGGAUCUGACGCUGAGACGCGAAGGCGUGGGGAGCGAACGGG
rnacentral:rRNA from 1 species